rnacentral:rRNA from 1 species
GAUGAACGCUAGCGGCAGGCUUAACACAUGCAAGUCGAGGGGUAACAGGGUGCUUGCACCGCUGACGACCGGCGCACGGGUGCGUAACGCGUAUACAAUCUGCCUUGUACUAGGGAAUAGCCUUUAGAAAUGAAGAUUAAUGCCCUAUAGUCUAUUUGAAUGGCAUCAUUUAAAUAGUAAAGGUUACGGUACAAGAUGAGUAUGCGUCCUAUUAGUUUGUUGGUGUGGUAACGGCACACCAAGACUACGAUAGGUAGGGGCCCUGAGAGGGGGAUCCCCCACACUGGUACUGAGACACGGACCAGACUCCUACGGGAGGCAGCAGUGAGGAAUAUUGGACAAUGGGCGAGAGCCUGAUCCAGCCAUGCCGCGUGCAGGAAGACGGCCCUAUGGGUUGUAAACUGCUUUUAAACAGGAAGAAACACCCCG